CCUACGGGUGGCAGCAGUCGAGAAUCAUUCACAAUGGGGGAAACCCUGAUGGUGCGACGCCGCGUGGGGGAAUGAAGGUCUUCGGAUUGUAAACCCCUGUGAUGUGGGAGCAAAUUAAAAAGAUAGAACCACAAGCAGAAGAGACGGCUAACUCGGUGCCAGCAGCCGCGGUAAUACAGAGGUCGCAAGCGUGGUUCGGAAUCACUGGGCGUAAAGCGUGCGGAGGCGGAUUCGUAAGUCGUGUGUGAAUGGCGCUGGCUCAACCCGCGAACGGCAAAUGAUACUGCGAGACUAGAGUAAUGGAGGGGGAACUGGAAUUCUCGGUGUAGCAGUAAAAUGCGUAGAGAUCGAGAGGAACACUCGUGGCGAAGGCGAGUUCCUGGACAGUAACUGACGCUGAGGCACGAAGGCCAGGGGAGCGAAAGGGAUUAGAUACCCCGGUAGUC
rnacentral:rRNA from 1 species